AUUACCAGACUGGAUUCGGGAAGUCCCUAUAUGCUGAACGAACAGCAGCCUUUGGUCUUACCUCGAGUGCCGCAGUCUAAGGUGAUGUCAGUCACCUCAAAUCCGGUAAGCCCCAGAGCAGAUUGUGAGAACCCAGCACUGUUCUUGCCAGAGGAAGCUUGCUUGGGUGUUUGCCUUGGUUGCAUUAUUUCUAGCAAGAAAUUUCAUAACAUACUUAUUUUGAGAGAUGGUUUCACUGUGUAGCCCAGCCCAGCCUUGAACUCACAGUCCUUCUGCCUCAGCUUCUUAAGUGCUGGGAUUAGAAGUGGUUACAGCUAGUUCUUGAGAGAAAGAGGAAGGAAAAUGUUUUUAACACAAAAGAGAUGGUUAAAGGCCACAUUAGAACAACUACAGUUCACCCCUACAAAGCCUUUGGAAUUUAGGUUAUUAAACAGGACGUGGGGAGACAUACACCUUGUACUUCUGGCUACUCAGAUGACUGGCACAGGAAGAUUACUUGAGCCUGUCACUUCAAGGCAGCCUGUGCAAUGCAGAGAGACACUGUCAUAAAAAAUUAAAAAUACGCUUACCUAGGAAGCGCAAGGCCCUGGGUUCGGUCCCCAGCUCCGAAAAAAAAGAACC
rnacentral:lncRNA from 1 species